rnacentral:rRNA from 1 species
UAGUGGCGAACGGGUGAGUAACACGUGGGCAAUCUGCCCUUCACUCUGGGACAAGCCCUGGAAACGGGGUCUAAUACCGGAUACCACUCCUGCCCGCAUGGGUAGGGGUUGAAAGCUCCGGCGGUGAAGGAUGAGCCCGCGGCCUAUCAGCUUGUUGGUGGGGUAAUGGCCCACCAAGGCGACGACGGGUAGCCGGCCUGAGAGGGCGACCGGCCACACUGGGACUGAGACACGGCCCAGACUCCUACGGGAGGCAGCAGUGGGGAAUAUUGCACAAUGGGCGAAAGCCUGAUGCAGCGACGCCGCGUGAGGGAUGACGGCCUUCGGGUUGUAAACCUCUUUCAGCAGGGAAGAAGCGAAAGUGACGGUACCUGCAGAAGAAGCGCCGGCUAACUACGUGCCAGCAGCCGCGGUAAUACGUAGGGCGCAAGCGUUGUCCGGAAUUAUUGGGCGUAAAGAGCUCGUAGGCGGCUUGUCACGUCGGAUGUGAAAGCCCGAGGCUUAACCUCGGGUCUGCAUUCGAUACGGGCUAGCUAGAGGGUGGNAGGGGAGAUCGGAAUUCCU